rnacentral:miRNA from 1 species
UUUUCCCACACCUCCCAUCCC